AUAAAAUUGUUUCAGGUGCUGAACAGAAACUUCUUUAUGGGACAGACAGAGCCUUAUGUUCCUGAGUUGCUCUCAUCUCUAAUGAUGUUAUUUUUAAAAAGGAAAACCAGUUUGGCUAUUAAGGGAACCUGUCGACACAGAGCAGAGCAAGAUAAGGCCAGGUUUCAGAGAGAAUAGCUGUUUACCAUCAAAGCAACUGGGUUCCACACAGACAUGGUUUAUUAUACACAAAGACGAUGACAUUCAGCAUGGUAAGGCACUAAGUGCCUAUGUUGCACCAAAGACCUGUGAAUAAGAACAUGCAAGAUUCGUGUAGCCAGGUUGGAACAAUCCAGGGCCAAGCAGCCUGUGUGCUCAAUUGAGGAGUGCUGAAGAGAAUAGAGCUCCAAGUCAAGGCAUUUGGAUGUUUAUCACUUCCUGGUUCAUUCGGUCAACAUAUGUCAAUUUAAUAAACAUGUCAGCACUCACAUUUUUACCCAGGCCUCUGAGGCUGUGGACUAUUUAUCCCCAGUGUCCAGUUCAGGAAGCUGAGGCAGAGAAAGCUUAAAUUACUUGCCCAGGUCACAUAACUAGUAAGUGGAAGGAGCCGAGAUGGAUACAGAUGAAUAAGGCACUAUGCUGAUGGAGAAGAAUGGUCCUGAUUUCAAAUAAAAGACACAGUGAGAAAAAAGUCCGAAGAGGAGAUUUGAUGUGAACUCUGGCUCUGUGGGAUUCAAAUUUAGCCAAAAAGAUGAUGCUAAGUGGUUAGUGUCCAGGGCGAAGUGGAGAAAGAAUGGGCAGCUGGGUCGAGUCUCGAGUGCAGUGAGAAGGAAGUGGGGACAGGUGCAUAGUGAGAGAGGCUGGAGAUCCCUUUUUAUCUGAUGCCAGUUGUGUAGUGUGGGAGGAGAUUUCUAAAAGACACUGUGCAGGGUGGGGCAGAGACCAACAUGGGACAUUGUGGGUAGGGAAGGGCCCCUGAGAAAGAUGUGAUCUUCCAUGGGUCCUGAGACCCUGGCCAGGACUCUGAGAUCCAGAGAGUAGAAUAGGGGAUCUUUGGGGUAAUGGCAGGGACAGGGGCAAGACUACGCAAGGCAAUCCAGAAAGGCACAUUGAAGCAGGAGAGAGGUGGUGGGUACUAUGACUUGGAUCAUUCCCCAUUCAUGGCAACUUAAUUCUAGUGCUCCUUCUUGUGUUGCAGAGCCUAUGGUUCAUAGAUAACCCUUACAGCUAGAGUUUUGGAGGUGAAUUAGGUUGAACCAAUCAGCUACAUCUUGUGAGAUGUGAAUCCAGACCUAAGGCGGGAGAAACAUAGCGUACAACACAAUUUUGCUGAAGAUAAAGUCAUACUGCCUGAAUCCAGUUCAAACUUUGGCUUGCAUUGUAUCCACUACUAAACCAUCUCAUAACUCAACCUAGAGUCAAAGAGGCAGGGCAGAUUACUGCAAAGUUACAUGGCAAAGGGCACUGAUACACGGAGAGGUGAAGAACUAGGGCCAUUAAGGCAAUCCACUAUAGGGAGUAGCAUGAUACCAUUUCUAUGUUACAAGGACCACUCCAGCAGCUGUGAUGACAGCAAAUUGCAGGGAAGCAAGGUUAGAAAGAGUGGGAGAACACACAGGAGGUUAUGGCAAGAGUCCAAGUUAGAAAUGAGUUUGGAGUAGCAUAGUAGCAGUGAAGAUGGUGAGAACAGGUCGAAUUCUGGACGUAUUUUGAAGAUAGAGCUUACAGCACUUGCGGAUGGCUGAGAUCUGUGGUAUGAGAGGUGGCAAGAAAUGAAAUGUAACAUGGUUUUUGGCCUUAGCAAGUGGUUGUCACUUCUUCUGAGGCUCCAGUAGACCAAUAAGUGACUGGAUGCAUGGGGAAUACAUGAAUGUGUUCACUUUUGAUAAAUCAUGGAGCUGUAAAUACUGUGCAUUAUUUGCAUGGCUUUCCGCAAUAUUAUAUAUAUUGGCUCUCACUGAAAAACCUAAGAAAAAUUUGGUAGAAAGAUGUUUAAUAAAUACUGAGAGUCAGGCUCACCACUUCCUUUAACUCAUCCCCUUGACUCAUAGACUCUUCUUUUCAACUGUCUGUUGAAUUUACUCUUUCUUUCCAUCUCCUCUGUUCAUGUUUCAGUUCAGACCUCUUGCCUGGACAAUUGCAGCACAACUAAUUUGUCUCAUUGACUCUGGUCCCCUGUCUAUCCUUACACUAUGGCAGGAACAUCUCUAUAAAAUACAAAUCUGAUCACGGCUCUUUCCUGACAAAAGUUACUUCUUUUUUUUUUUUUUGAGACAGAAUCUCGCACUGUCACUCGGGCUGGAGUGCAGUGGCGCCAUCUCAGUUCACUGCAACCUUUGCCUCACAAGUUCAAGUGAUUCUCCUGCCUCAGCCUCCCAAGUAGCUGAGAUUACAGACGCCCACCACCAUGCCUGGCUAAUUGUUUUGUAUUUUUAGUAGAGAUGGGGUUUCACUAUGUUGACCAGGCUGAUCUCGAACUCCUGUCCUUGUGAUCCACCGCCUUGGCCUCCCAAAUUGUUGGGAUUACAGGCAGGAGCCACCACGCCCAGUCUGUAAUUAUUUUUUAAGGCCAAGUUUAUUUUCUAUUUCUAUUAAAGAAACCUGAAUAAAGUGAGGGAAUUAGCCAUUAGAUAUGACCUAUACAAAAAAGUAAUAGAAGGAAAAAGCACCCCAAAUCUCACCAUAUAAAAAUCUCUCCUUUCAGUCUUUUUUAAAUGCCAUUUUCUUCUAACAUAGUUUAAAACAUACAAUAUAAAUUCUUACUUUUUCAUGUAAUAACAAUUAUUUUUCUCUAGAUAUUUAAAAAUGCUUUACGUAUUUUUGUGAAAAACCUAUUUCCAUGUUGCUUCUCAGCACCUACGUUAUUUGUUUUGUUUUACAUGUGGUAUUUGACCAUCAAUUUAUUGGAUGUAGUGCUUUUAUUGAUUUGUGUAAGCUUUUUAUAUAUAAAAAUAAUCAAUUUUUCAGUUUAAAAAAUGUCAUUUAGAGCUGUUCUAGGCUGCAAAAAGCAGAAAACUAGGUCAUUAUUUUUUCCAUUGCUGUAUAACAAAUGAUCACACAUUUGAUGGCUUAAACCAAACAAAUAUAUCAUCUUACGGUUCUGGAGGUCAGGGGGCCAAAAUGGAAGUGUCGUCAAGGCUGUGCUUCCUUCUGGGGGCUCCAAAGGAGCAUGUGUUUCCCUGCCUUGUCUAGUCUCUGGAGGCUGCCUGUAUUCCCUGACUCAUGAUCCCUGCCUCUGUCUUCAAAGCCAGCAAUGGCAAGCUGAGUCGUUUGCACGUAUAAUCAUUCCCACCUAUACUUUUGUUCACACCUCCUUCUCUAACUCUGAUCUCUCUCCUGCCUCCCUCUUCCACUUAUUUUUUUUUUAAGCCAGUGUCUCGCUUUAUCACCCCGGCAGGAGUGCAGUGGCACAAUCACAGCUCAUUGCAGCCUCAGCCUUCUAGGCUCAAGCAGUCCUUCUGCCUCAGCUUUCAAGCAGCUAAAACAGGUGCAUGUCACCACACUUGGCUAAUUGUUUUAAUUUUUUUUGUAGAGAUGGGGUCUCACCAUGCUGCGCAGGCUAGUCUAGAACUACUGGCCUCAAGUGAUCCUCCCAUCUCUGCCUCCCAAAGCACUGUGAUUACGGGAAUAAGCCUCUGAACCUGGUCCACUUUCAUAGACAUUUUAAAAAUGACAUUGAGCUUAUCUGGAUAAUCCAGAAUAAUCUUCCUAGUUUAAAGUUAGAUGAGUAGCAACCCUGAUUCCAUCUGCAACCUUAAUUCCUCUUUGCCAUGUAACAUAACAUAGCCACAAGUUCAAGGGAUUAGAAUGUAGAUAUCCUUGGGUGGGGAAGGGGUGGGGACAUUAGUCUACCUUCCAUACCAGGCAUAUAAACAAGUGGAAGUGUUAUUGGUCUUAUAUAAAAAGAAGUUUAGGGGGAGUGGUGGAGAGGAUCACAAAGAGAAAGAUAAACAAAAAAGAAGGCUAGGGCUAGUGUAACAAUUUAAUGAUGCCGUCAAGUAUCCAGUCUCUUUCCAUCUUUCUGCUAUGCCAUCCUUAGCUGAUGAACCCUUGACUCUGUGCUUGUUGCCUCAUGGUUGCCAGAUGGUUGUUGGGUAUCCAGGCAUUUCAUCCAUGCUCCAGGAAAGAAGAAAAGUGGCCGUGUGAAGGCAAAGGGGUGAAAGAUGGAAGGCCAUGCCAGCUGAGUAUAUGUCCUAGGUCAGAUUCUCUGGAAGCAGCCCCUCACCCAUUCAUGUGUUAGUGAUUUACUAAGGAAGUGUUUCCAGGAGAAAUCUGUAAAUGGAAUAAAGAAGAUAGCAUAGAGAAGAGAAAGCGGAGAAAGUGUGAUUUUGGGUCAAGAACCAGCUUCAGCCUGGUUUCAGGAGGAACCUUGAGCAUAAAUUACACUAGAGUUUGUGUCAGCUUGAAGCAAAGUAGCUGACUGUACAGACUUCUCCUCCAGCUGAUGCAUGAGGAGUAGUGAUGGUGGCGGUGGUAGAGAUUGACCGCCCAGGCCCUUCAGACAUCCGGGCAAAGAGGCUGUACCAGCCCAAAGUAGUGCUCUGAAGAUAGUAACAGGUGCCUGUUGUUAGGGAUAACUCAGAGAAAUAAGGGAGUGAGCUCAUGGGCAGGCAGAGAGUUGGAGGUAAUCUGGGUGGAGCACCAUGCCUUUGCUGCAGUUUGUGUCUUUUAUUAUAUAAAGCUUCUCUAAAUGCCCUAUUUAGCAAGCUCCAAUACAGUCCUUCCAUCUAGACUUACCAUAUAGCCACCUCUAGCUGCAAAGGUGUCUAAAACGAGAUUUCUACCAGGAUACAUUGCCGCUUUUACAAAACUGGGGGGCUGGCUGGGUGCUGUGGUUUAUGCCUGUAAUUCCAGCACUUUGGGAGACUAAGGCAGGUGGACCACUUGAGGUCAUGAGUUCACGACCAGUCUGGCCAACAUGGCAAAACCCUGUCCCUACUAAAAAUGUAAAAAUCAGCUGGGUGUGCUGGUGUGUACUUGUAAUCUUAGCUACUUGGGAGGCUGAGACAGGAGACUCACUUAAAUCUGGGAGGCAGAGGUUGAAGUGAGCCCAGAUAGUGUUACUGCGCUCCAGCCUGGAUGAUAGAGUGAGAAUCUGUCUCAAAAAAAAAAAAAAAAAAAUUGGGGGUCUGUUAGUAAAGUAAAAAGGAGAGAACGAAUCUAGGUAGGCAACCAUCAGACUCUGUGAAAAUUAUUUUUCAUUUAGUUUUAACUUUUGGUCAUUUUAAAAACAAUUAAAACUUUUACAUAGUAGAUAUUUUAUUUUGUAAUUCCUUCUAAUAUUACAAAGUUACAAUGCCGUUCUUAAACAGAGAUCUAAUAAAUGCCAAUCUAUAUUUUCUCUGUAUUUUCUAGUUCAUAAAAAUACUCAACUCUAUUCUAUCUAUAACUUAUUUUGGUGAAUAAUGUCAAGUGAUGCUACCAGUGAUUUUUUUUCACUAAUUCCUAACCCAUUUUCCCAAUAUUAUGUGCAUAUGUAUAUAUAUAUACCCAAACAUACAUGCAAACACUGUAUUCUAUUUGCGGACUAUAUGUGCCACUCCAGUGGUCUGCUGAUCCUUUUGUCAUGUUUUAAAAAGUAAUGGUUUUACAACAUAUUUUUAUUGUGAUAGGGGAAGCACCCAUCCUCAUUUAUUUUAUUUUACCUUUUUGUAUUUUUUGAGACGGAGUCUCGUUCUGUUACCCAGGCAGGAGUGCAGUGACACCAUCUCUGCUCACUGCAACCUCUGCCUCAUGGGUUCAAGCAAUUCUCCAGCCUCAGCCUCCUGAGUAGCUGGGAUUACAGGUGCCCACCACCAUGCCCGGCUAAUUUUGUAUUUUUGGUAGAGACAGGAUUUCACCAUGUUGGUCAGGCUGGUCUUGAAUCCCUGACCUCAGGUGAUCCACCUGCCUUGGUCUCCCAGAUUGGUAGGAUUAUAUGAGUAAGCCACAGUGCCUGGACUUUUUUCUUUCAAAUUAGUAUGGAUUUCAUCAAAUGGCUUUCAACAUUUAUUGAUCUGAUCAUAUAAUUUUUCUAACUGAUCAAUUUAUAUGCAUAUUAUUACUUAGCUCUGUAUUAUAUAACAUUGAGCUUCAAUUUUCUUCCCCCCAAAGAAGGUGUUUGAUUAGGUGACUGUCAGGCUCCCGUCCAUAUCUAACAUUUUAUUAUCCUAAGAAUUGUCUGUCUCUGAAGAAGAUUCCACAUAUUGACCAUACUGAACUCAGUAAUGGUUGCUUUCCGCAUGAACCAAUACGUGCCUGUAAGUAAGGUGUGAGGUGACAGCCCUUCUGGAAACUCAGUAGCCUCUAGUCUUCCUGCCAGUACACUUCACUUUUCCUGACAAGCCCAAUAGCUUCAUUCCUCAGGCUCCAAAGCUGUCAUUUCUAAAGAAAAAAUAGAGGGAAACAACAACUCAGACCAUUAAAUAAUAAUAGCAAAAAUAAUAAAUUACUAUGUUGUUGAUCUAUAUUUAAUCAAUAAGUUAAACUAAGAACUGUACCUGGUACAUAUAAACAUUACAUAAUUACUAGCUGUCAUAUCUUGUUGUUAUUUUUAAAUUGACUAUUUCAUAAUAAAUGUUGAGAUGGGAGAUCUGAAUCUAUUCAUUCUUUAGCUGGUCUCAGUUCACUCUUCCUUCUUAUAGAGUUAAAAUCUUCUCAUUCUAAGACUCUUCAAAUUUUGUUCUAGUGUUAGUUUUGUUCUCAUGUUUUUUGCACAAUGUGGCCCCUAAAUGCAAGUCAAUUACUUCAUCUGGUGCUUAUCUGAAGAAAUAGCUUUCCUUCAAAUGCUAAAGAAAAGACUUGCUAUGUUGGACCUAGUGAAAGGUGGUAUGUCAGUUUUCAGUAGAUCCUCAUUAUUUGCAGAUUGUACCUCUGUGAACCCACCUACCUGCUCAGAUUCAUUUGUAACACCCAAAUCAAUAUUUGCUGGACUUUCACACUCAUUUACAGACCUGCAACAAAUAGUGAAAAACUUUGAUUUGUGCAGUGCAUAAGUUUCCCAGCUGAGGCUGAACCAGGCUUUGCUGUCCUGUUUCAUUUCUCAUAUUGCCAACUGUCCUUUCUGAGAUCAAUUUAAUGCCAUUUUUUUGCAUUUUUGUGCUCUUGUUGAUGGUUUUGCUGUUUAAGAUGCCCUCCAAGCACAGUGCUGAAGUGCUGCUUAGUGUUCCUAAGCUCAAAAAGUCUUUGAUGUGCCUUACAGAGAAAAAAAAUGUGUGUUUGAUAAGCUUUGUUCAGGCAUGAGUUAUAGUGCUGUUGGCUAUAAGUUCAAUGUUAAUGAAUCAACAAUAUAUAUUAAGGAAUAUUUCUUUAAAUAGAAACACAUAUAAAACAAGGUUACAUCCUGAAUAUGAAAGUUUUGACUAGAGGCUUGAAGGACCCUAACUUGGUAUAUUCUUUAGGAGCAAGGAAUAAAUUAGGAAAACAGCUCAGGUUCUCCUAAUUUAGUGUUUGCAAUAACUUUAUAGAACAUACCUACCACAAAUAAUGAGAAUCAAGUGCCCUUUUCUAAAGAAUAUUCCAGGAUUAUUUGGGCUAUUUGUGAAUUUCAACCUUGAGUGUAUUCAUGAUACUCCUCACUCCCCAAAGAUGGGAGUCCUCUGUAUCUUACUUGAGCAUGAAACAAGAAGCAUUUACUAUGCCUUCCUCUUGAGGUCAUUUAGACCUUGUUAUUUAAAUGUCUAGUGAGGGGGGUUCAUUGUUUAAUUUCACAUUUUAGAUUGUAUAUUCAGUUUCUUCAUUAAAAAACAAUGCUUUUUAUUAAGGAGUACUGAAUAUAGUUUUUAGGGGGGAAAGUGCAAUUGCACUCUGAUUAAUGAUGUUAUGGAUUUCUCAGUGACUUCUUUUUUUUGAGAUGGAGUCUCUCAUUCUGUCACCCAGGCUGGAGUACAAUGGCAUGAUCUUGGCUCACUGCAACCUUGGCCUCUCGGGUUCCAGCGAUUCUUCUGUGUCAGCCUCUCGAAUAGCUGGGAUUACAGCCUGCUCAUAGCUUUCCUGAAAAUUUAAGCUGGCUCUUAAGAACCCAUACAAGCUGGUUCUAGCACACUGCUAAAUACAUAUAUGAUGGCAAGUUAUUGACUGUGGUAAUCACCAUCCCCCACCCAGGGGGAGGGAGAGAGUUGUAGUUUGUGGAUAGGGACCUUCACCAUUUACUCUGUAUGCUUCUCUUUUGUUUAUAUUGCUAGUGUAAUAAAAGUGAAUAGAAAGUGAUUUUCAUAAAAGAUUGAUUGCUCUAAUAGCCAAUACUUCCUUCUCUCUUUUCAACUGAGCCCAAGCCCCUGAAGUAGCAUGGAUCAAUGGAGAGAGUGUUGGACUAGGAACUAAAAGUUAUCUUUUCUUCCUGGUUUGGCCUUUGAAAGACUGAAAACUCGAGAGCAAAUUAUUUAAUUUCUCUAAGUGUUAGCAUCUUUGUAUGUCAAAUGAAAAUAUAUAAGGGUUUCAUGCUGUUCUAAUCUUUACUUUUCUAAUGAUUUCUUAUAUCAUUCAAUACAUUUACCAUCGCAAGAGAUCACAGCAGUCACACAAAGUUUUUGUGUGAAGUCCCAGAUUAUCCCAUUUAUUUAUUUAUUUAUUUAUUUACUGAGACGGAGUUUUGCUCUUGUUACCCAGGCUGGAGUGCAAUGGCGUGAUCUCGGCUCACCGCAACCUCCGCCUCCUGGGUUCAGGCAAUUCUCCUGCCUCAGCCUCCUGAGUAGCUGGGAUUACAGGCGCACGCCACCGUGCCCAGUAAUUUUUUUGUAUUUUCAGUAGAGACAGGGUUUCACCAUGUUGACCAGGAUGGUCUCGAUCUCUUGACCUCGUGAUCCACCGCCUCGGCCUCCCAAUGUGCUGGGAUUACAGGCUGGGCCAGAUUAUCCCAUUUAUUACUCAUUUUAUUUCCUGAGUUUUUGAAGUGUUAUGGACUUGAAAUUCAUGGUCAGUGUUGAUAAUUAUAAAACUUGGGUGGGUUAGAAAAAAUCGAGGUUUGGAAGUUGGCUAAAAAAAGAUCCAGAAGAUGUUGUCUGACUAGCUCUGUUCCCAGCAGGGUGCACUGAUUUACAGACUCAUGGAUAGUAUAUGUGAUGAGGGGCCUGGGCCCUGGGCCUUCUGAGAGCCCUCCCAUGCCACCUACGUUUGUAUUCUUCUAGAAUGCAUUGGCUUAAGUAGCUGCACUGAUUCUAGUCUCUGACCAGGCAAAUAAUUUCAUUAUUUUUAUUUUUAAACUGUAAAAUAGUAGAUGUUUAUUAUAGAAAAUUUUGAAAUACAGAUGAGCAAAAAAGAGAACAGGAAGAUCACUGAUGUUAAAGUAUAGAAUUUUCCACUUGUUGUUGCUGUGUUUUGUAUAUACGUAAAUGAACAUAUGGAUGUUUUAAAUGACAUCAUACUUCUUGAGAGUGGGGCACAGCAUAGACUCAGAGUGUAGACUUUGGAGCCAAAACGUUCACGUUGGAAUCCUGGCUCCAUCCCUCACUAACUGUGUGACUUCAGACAGUUCACCAUUCCACUUUGAGCCUUAGUAAAAAGAGGAUGAUAGAGUCUACCUUGUAAGAUUAUUGUGGCAAUUCAGUGAGUUAAUACACAUGAAAACCUUAUAGAACAGUGCUUUGGACACAAUUCAAUGAAUGAUAGCUAUUUUUAUUGUAUUCCAUUGUAUAUUGAUACACUGUAGUUUACUAACAUCUUACUUUUGAGCAUUCAAGUGAUUUAUAAUUUUUCAUAGGUUUUUUAAAUACAUUCUCAGGAUAAAUUCUAGACUUGGAAUCACUUAGUAUUUGCAUAUUGAGGUUCUAGACAUGGAAUCAUUUAGUGUUUACAUAUUAAGGUUCUAAAUAUAUAUUAUGAUAAUUAAAGUCUUCCUUACACACAGCAUCCACUAAGUGAACAAACACGUCCCAUCUCUCCCUCUUAUCAAUGCUAGUAAAAUGGUUGGGCUUUCACAUUUUCUUAUCAAAAUGAGAUUUCCACUUAUUUCCAUAAUAUAUUCAAAUCUAUACUCUUUAUCUUAAAUGCAGAAUAAAUGCCUGAGAUAUUAUUAAACUGUGAAAAUUAAUUAAAUCUUAAGGCAAACACUUUUUUCUGGAAAUUAAUUCGCCAGGUUGUGGCUAGGCAUAUACAUCCAUGGUAAGCAAUUCACCCCCAGCGUCACUACUGGGCAAAAGCAGUAAAAGAGACACAAACUGCAGCUCCUCCAAGGUGGAGGGCAAGAGGGCCUCCCACUUUCCCUCCUCAUCCUUGUUGGACGUGCAGAUUCUGAUCCUUCCUCAUGGCUCUGAGGCAGACCCUUUCCACAACCUUGGAAGAAGAUGCUGUUGCCAUCUCUGCUGGCUUCUGACUCCAUUUGAGAGGUUUGUUCGCUCAAAUCACGGCCAGCCUAACAGGGAUACUGAUGAGGGAAUGCCACAAUGGGCAAUGUGUCAGCCAGGUUCUUCCACAGACCCAGAACCAGCAGGGGACUGGAGACUCUCCACAGGUGCCAAACCUGCUGUCCCCAAGUGGGAUUUCUUCUUCUGCAGGGAAACCUGAGUUUUGUCCUUAAGGUCUUUCAUGAACUGAUUGAGGAGAACCUCACCAUAACAACUAGAUUAGUGUUAAAAAAUUUUUUUCUUGGCUGGGCAUGGUGGCUCACUCCUGUAAUCCCAGCACUUUGGGAGGCUGAGGUGGGUGGAUCAUGAGGUCAAGAGUUUGAGGCCAGCCUGGCCAAUGUGAAACCCCAUCUCUACUAAAGAUACAAAGAAUUAGCUGGGCAUGGUGGCCGGUGCCUGUAGUCUCAGCUACUCGGGAGGCUGAGACAGGAAAAUUGCUUCAACUCAGGAAGCAGAGGUUGCAGUGAGCUGAGAUUGUGCCAGUGCACUCUAGCCUGGGUGACAGGGCAAGACUGUCUCAAAAAAAAAAUUUUUUUUUUUUUUAGAAACAAGGUCUCACUGUGUUGCUCAGGCUAGAUUCAAAUUCCUGAGCUCAAGUGAUCCACCUGUUUUAGCUUGCUAAAUAGCUGGGGCUACAGUAUGGGCCAAUAUGCCAGCUUAGUGUUUAAUUUAUUUACCAGGUGCAUUAGCCUGGCCAAUUGACCCAUAUGACUGGCCAUCACAGACAGUCACAAGAAUAAGAAGUGUUCAUGAAGGGUGGCCUGACUUCUGUUCCUACCAAGUCCCUAAGCCCCCCUUGAGUGCCAUACCAGGCAAUGUGCACAAUUUCUGGGCUGAUGGAGAACUGCCCUUAGCCAGCUCUUCUUCUGAGAGAAGAUUGUGCUAAACUCUCUGCAUAUAAAGGCAUAAGGGAGCUUGUUAUUCCUGUUUUCAUGCAGGGUGAUCUGAAAAUUACAGAUCAUCAGGGUCAUGUCAUAAAUGAUUUCAGAGGGAGGUCUGAAAUAUCCACUCUAAAGACUAUGGUGGAGAGGGUCAGAGGAUUAAUCAUGGUAUAAGUCAGUGAUUCCAAAUAUGAUUCCAACAUGAGUUCACGGGAACACUAGAUCCAUGGGAUAGCAAAUAAUCGGUGCAAGGUGAAGAUUCUGAGGUAAAAAAAAUAUUUAAGAAAUUCUGCUUUAAUAUCAAUGAUAGACUGGAUAAAGAAAAUGUCAUACAUAUACACUGUGGAAUACUCUGUGGCCACAAAAAAGAAUAAGAUCAUUUCCUUUACGGCAUCAUGGAUGGAGCUGAAGGCCAUGAUCCUAAACAAACUAACACAGGAACAGAAAACCAAAUAUUGCAUGUUCUCACUUAUAAGUCAGAGCUAAAGCAAGAAACACAUGGAUACUAAGAGGAGAGCAACAGAUACUGGAGCCUACUUGAGGGUGGAGGGUGGGAGGGUUGUUAGGAUGAGGGAGAGGAGAAAAGUCUCUUUAAUGAGUUAAUGUACAUGGGAACUCUUGGAAGGGUAUUCUGGUAUGCAGUGUUUAAAAGCUUACUUGAUCACAAAUCAAUGUUUUGCUGAGCACUUUUUGAGUCUAGUGUCCCAUAAAAUACCUUAAGAAAAGAUGUUAUAACUUACAGUGCUAGCCACACAGAAUAAAGGUGGGGCAGAAUUUCUUCCAUGUUAUCCCACAUAUUGCCGUUUAGCACCACUAGAUUCUAUGCAAAAGUAAAUUUGCUGAGAAAUUCACUGCAAAGAUGCCAUUGAACACAUGCAUUUAUUGCAUGCCCAUUUUGUGCCACUGCCAGGAAUAAGGGCUGCAUGAUACCAACACAUCCUAACUUCAUGGAGCUUACGUAUCACAUGAGGAAGUGACCUCCUGACGACACCUUCAUUCCAGAUGGGGCCCAACAGACCUGACGUCAACCCUGCUGCACAAGUCUCCUGAAGAUCCCUUUGGAGUCUGCAGAGGAUACUGCAUCACCUUGUAGGAGCUGGUACUAGUAAUCUCAUCUUGGUGUCCAGGCCCUUGUUCUUCCACCUCUAACUCCAAUGCAACCUCCUGUGAUGCUGGUGGAUCCAAAAGGAUAGUUCAUGACACCAGGACCUCAUCCUCUUGCUCCUCCAGAAGGCUUGUGUGGACCACCAUGAGGAUGUUUUCAGCCAAGCCAUUUUGGUGGCCUGCAACAUUUUUCUAUCAAAGCUAUGGGUCCACUCUCCCUCAAGGAAUGUUAUAAAUCCACAUGGUGUCCCUGGGCGUCAGGCUUGGCCGCAACAUCUGUGGCUGGAGAAGCCAAUGUGGCCCAGGAGCUCCCUGCUGGCUGCACAUCUGAACGGCUUCAAGAGUACAAGUUUCCCCAUCAAAGGUUUGGAAUAAAUUACACUAAAAAAUUGGCUCCGGAAAGAAUUAUUUUGGAUAGGACAAGGUGAAGCUCUCAUGAGGUGUGUUAAAUGCAUCCCUCUGUGCAGUGGGUGGCUGCGGGAGAGCUGGAGGAGGUGCUCAAAGGCUGUGGGGAAAGUGGAGAAACUCUAACCCUGCUGUGGGGAAAGUGGAGAAACUCUAACCCUUGGACAGAAAUGCCAGAUCUACUGACGGGACAAGAUUUUGGAAACUCAUUUUUUAAACAAAUGGUUUUACAAAGCUUUAUAACUUAAUAUGAACAUAUAUCUUAUAAACUAGUCAUCUUUUUCCUGAUACUUCAUUUUCAAAGCCUGUCCUUCCCCACUUCAUGGAGUGCUGGAACCAGGGCACACUAGCUUAUGAGAGCUGAUUGUUAAGUUUUCAGGAAUUUUGUGAGCCAGUUGUCAAACACAGCUGAUAUUCAAAUUAAAUUACAUAAACUUUCAGUUAUAUAAGUUAUCUUAAAAACCAGGACAAGAAAUGCCCCACACUCAUCAUUGCUUCCUAAUUAUUUUGUUACAUUUGAUUAUGGAUCUACAUUUUUGAGGUUAGUUACAUCUCUCCUACCUGUUUGGUGGACAUACUGUAUAAUGGUGGACCACUGUGUAUCCCAUUACAUCUCCAUGGUCAGUGACAUCACAUGGGUUGUUUGAAGUCAACAUGAUGGGAGUAUUUACAUCACAGAAACUGACUACAAAUCAGGGCGUAGACUUAUCAUUUCAUUUAUGAUCCAGACAAGAAAGUGGACAAAAUGUUAGUAAUGCAUACUAAAUUUAAACGUGUGUUGUGCCUGUAGUUAUUAUAUAUGAAUAGCCUAAAAAUUGACAGAAGAUUCUUCUAGUAUUUAACAACUAUUAAAGCAUUAUCUAAUUCAGCAAAGAAGUUGCUCAUGUCAUCAAUGAGCAAACAUUGUACUCACAUAAGUCUUUUUGUUUGUUUUUCCUUAAUAUGUGAAUAUAUUAACCAACAAUUUGCACAGGAAUUAUACUUGUUUGUUAACUGCCAAAAUAGGUUGACUAAGGACAAGAGUUAGAUAAAAAUCAAGGAAAGCAUCCAUAAGAAAUAAAUUUACUAUAUAGAAUUUACAAUAUAGAGUUUUGUGUAUUUUAUUAUACUUAUAAAUUAUGUCCUUAUAUCCUUUAUGCUAGUAACACUUAUAGUAAAUCAAUGCACAUAUUUGUGUAUACAUUUCUUCCUGGAGAGUUGAUAGUUAGACUUUUACUGGCACAUCACUACCCAUAAAUAAAUUUGAGUUUCUUACUCCUGCUUGAAAUUUGCUUUUGUUUUCCCAGAGCCAAAGUUCCUCCUUUAUUAGAUACUGGAAUAGCAAUGGCCCAAGUGAGGGAGAAAGAUGCUUGGCCCCCUUAAGAUGGCUCUUGGAAUGCCCCACAAAAGGAGCUACAGCUUUGCCAGAAGAGAAGAGGCAACAGGACGUAUUUCUGUUCAUGCCUUCCCUAGGCCCUAAACGUGGAUUCUAUUCAUCAGAAAAAAUACACAUGAAAAAAUUUUUCAUUUUACCCAGACUGCCUUCCAAUGGCAUUUUUUGUUCUAGUACUCUGAGCCCAUGGAGCCAUAUUCUAUCUCCCAAUACAUGCUUCAGACCCAUUUUAGUUUGACAGCCUGUUACACCUCCUUCUCUUUAAUGCAACCACACCCAAGCUUAAUGGUCUGAGAACUGUUAAUGUCACCAGCUUUGGCUCAUAGCCUGUGAGUCAGACGGUACCUCCCAACACCCACAUCCCCACACCAUCAAGAAAGGGCAGACUGGUAGCCUAAUAGUGUCUAGCAAAAGGCAGGGGUUCCCUGGAUGCCAUUUAACCAGUGGCUUUGCCAGGGACAGUAGCAGGGAAAGGAGGAUCAUGGUGGUGGCUACAUGAUGGCUUGCUUGUGAGUCAUUUGGGGUGCCCCUGGAGUUAGUCUAAGUAUCAGAUAGAAUAUGGUAUUUGAAAGAAAAUUAAACUUACUAGUUUGUACUCUCUGGGCAUAUUCAAGCAUUCAUAGACUUGAGAAAAUGUUCUCACCCUCAUAGCGAUAUCCUUCUAACGGCUCCUGCACAGAGGGAGGACUGUAUGGAUCAAUGGGAAAAGAUGUGAAGUCAGGGGACUUGGUUCUACUCUCAUUUCUGUUACUAAUGAGCCCUUUGGCUUUGGACAGGUUAUUUUACUUCCUUGGAAAUUAGUUUUGUAUAAAAUUAUCAACAGUUUCCAGUAGAAAUGGUUCCUUAUAACUCUGUCACUCUAUGACACUUCGUCUUUUGUUUCACGGGGUAAAUGACACACAGGUCUUUGGUCAGAAAGUCAAGGGCAGACUCUAGCAUAUUGGUCAUAUCAAUUCUUUGAAUCCCAGGCCUCAAAUUCUUUAUGGCAGUGGGCAUAAAUCAUAAAUAAUUCCAGGCUUCUACUCCCAGAUUUCUUAGAAGGAUCAGAGCACUGACAUUCUUUGGCAGAUGAAAAAAGAAAUUCAGUUAUCUGGAAUGCAAAUAAAAAAAAAAAAAAGAGAGUGUUCUCUCCUGUUGAAAAUGUUUUUGAAGGGCAGUAGCAGUUUUUCUCGCUUUCGUAAAAACAGAGAAAAUAACAGUAUUUUUCCUAUUAUCAUGGCUCUGUUCUGCUGUAGGAUUGAGAUUCAGAAUAUGAGUGAUCGUUAUGCAUUCAGCAUCAUUUACUUUUACUGUAGAAGAUUCAAGAGAUUGUCCUGAACAUAUACUGUCUUAGGAGACAGCAUUUAUUAAUUGUAUUUUUACUUCAUGCUUAGACAUUUUUAUUGAUUACAUAAUAUAUUUUAUUUAUUAUGUCUGUGCUCUCCAUGUAUCACUUAAAGUUUAAAUCUUUCUCAUAAAACUGGAACUUCAAAAAAAGUUUCAAAUAUUUUUUAGGUGGUGGUGGUGGUAGUGUUCCAUUUUGCUAGGUUCUGCUUAAUUAAAGUGCUAAGAUGUUUAAAGAAUCCAGAAACAUAAAACAUUUGUACUGUGUUCUGGGUAUCAAAGACUACAGUUGUUAUUUAACAAGACAGUUGCUCAUAAGCAAAUGUUUUCAGCCUGACCCACCCUGUGGCAGGAGCUACUUUUCCUCAGAUGCAAUUAAUUUCUCAGUAUUGGAUUUUGGGGUUGUCAUGGUUUUACUCUUCAAUUUUUAAGUGCUUUUUGGAGCACCAUCUCUGUGUUCUCUUUAUGCAGUCUUAGCCUCCAAGGAGGUUGCAUUCUAGUGUUCAGGUACCAGAUAUAUUCCCUGCCCAGACCAAGACCAAUUUCCAAGGCAAUGAAAGAGAAAGGGAGUGUGAGAAAGAUAAGCAAGAAGGAAAGAGAUAGAAGAGGAAAAGAGCAGGGCUAGUCACACAGAACUUGUGCUUAAUUUUUAAGUUAAGGAGAGCAGAAUUCAAACUCUACAAAGAACGCCAGUGCCAUCCACUUCUGGAGCGCCUGAGGUGAGGUGGAGCCUGUCUUCUAAUGGGAAUCAUAGGCUCUAGGUAUCAAAACUGUGGCAUGCGGUUCCUCCACUGGGCUGUUUUGACUCAAGACUUCCCUGCCCAUUGUCAACAGGAUAUCAUAAAACUCUCUUCCUAUCAUAACACUAUUUCAAUCAUGCAAAGAUUUCUAAAAAAAAAAAAAAAAAAGUUAAGCCUGAGCUGUUUGCAUUAAGGAAUUCAGAGGUAAACAAGUUUCUUGAUGACCCUGAUGUUGGAGGCUUUUUGUGUAUCCUUCGGUAAGAAAUGGAACUGAGUCUUCAUUCCCAUACAACCAACCAAUCAAUCAAUGAAACCAGUCUCUUCACUCAUCUCUACUGCUGCACCCCUGCCAAAUGUAAAACAUUGUCUCUGUUGCUGAGCUCUUGAUAUAGCCACGAACUGAUUAUUUCUUUGUGGCUUGCUCAUUUUGUCAAUUAUUCAGAUAGUUUUCUCUUGCCUACCUGUUAGCAUCUUUACCAGUAAUGAGAGAAGAUGAUCUCGAACUAGUUCAUUUGUUUUUGCAUUUGGUCAUGUAUUAACAGUUCUUGAAUUACUUUUAAUAGAAGGAAAGUUGCAACUAAUGCAUAAAACUAGGAUUUUGCAUUGUUCUGGUGGUUUGGUUGUUUAUGUCAGCUCUAACCUCUGGUUCUAUUGGUAUUUGAUAAGUUAUUCUCACAUCUAUUUAAAAAAAUUCAAAAUCAGUUUUGUCAAAUGGCUGAGACCUAGCCCCUAGAGUAUAGUGGUGGUAAUGUUGAUGUGCUAUGCCUCCUGGCUUUAUUCUAGGUAAAUAAAUCAAUAACAGCUCUUUUGAUCCUUUCAUCUUUCUUUUACUUCCACUGUGGAAAAGUUUAAGUAGAAAUAUAUCUGUGUAUCUAUAUCAUGCGUGUUUUUUUGUGAAAAGGGUAAUGGAAUACAGAAUGCCAUACAUGGGUUAUUCCCACUAUGAAUUAGUCUCUUUUAUCUGACUCUGACCAAAACAGAUGUUGGCAGCCUUUCUAUUCCAGCUCCCUAAGUCAGACUAAGACUAUCAGUUCCGCUUAGGGAAGCUGUAGGGAAAUGAUUUAACUCUUUCAAUAGACUCUUAGUAAUUUUUCCCUUGGUUCCCUUUUAUUAUAAACUACAAACAAACAAAAUUAGAAUACAUCUCUAUGCAACAAUGAAAGAAAAAUAGCAAUAUUAAAAAUACAUCAAAUACAACUCUAGAGGGAAGUGAAUUUUUAUUCAAGGACUUUUAAGAAUUCUGACAUUGAAAAGACAUCUUUGCUUCAGGAGGCAGCUGAAUGUGUUUCCAACUUACAGUCAAAGAUCAUUUGCAUAGAAUACCAAAAAAGCCAUUUUUUUUUUUUUAAUUCAGAGAAAGAAUAUCUAUCAGAGUGUGGCAGGAUGUAUCCUGCUAGGAUUCUUCUCUUUUCUACAGAAACUGACCAUUUAAAAAAGUCUUUCUAUGAUUGGUGCCACAAUAAAGCUCUUGUACUGAAUUCUGCAAUAACAUGUAAAUUAAUGGAAUGUGAAAAAUGGAGGGACUGCAAGGGAAAGGAUCAAAGGGUGAGAAGGGAAAAAAAAAGGGAAAGGGAGAUUAUUAGAAAAAAAUGUUCAAUAAACACAUAGCAUUUCAGGAAUUUAUCAUGGAAAGAAACAAUCUCUUUUUAGAUUUCAGGUAAAAACAAAAUUAUUUUUAAUUAAUAUGUAAAGACUAAGCAUUUUCCAAACCGUGCAAAGAAAACAGGAAAAAAAAUUACUUCUUAGACUCCAGGUACUUUUACAUAAUUUAUCUCACUUACUUCUCAUAAUUAUCCUAUAAAGUGAUCAUUUCUAUCAUUUUUUUCAUGCCUUACCCACGCCAGGACACCUGUGCAUUAGACUCCCAGGUAAUCAGGUUCUGUGGACUAAAACCUCUGUCGGCACAUUCUCUGUAUCCUGUAGCCCUUGCAGGAACAUUGGAAAUACAUGGCAGGAAGGGGCUGCCACCUUUCUUGCCCAAACCCUUCCAACAAAGUCAUCAAACAGUAAGUGUAACUGAGGAUGCAUUUAACCACUAUUCAUCAGUAAAUAGCAUCUGAAAACUCAAAUUCUGCAUACUGCCAAAAUAAAAGCUACUGUUUGUUGAUGGGAACUAUGCUAAACCCUUCACAUGUAUUACCUAAUUUAAUCCUUUCAGUAGCCUGCAAUUUAGGUGCUGUAUUAUUUUUUCAUUUUCAGAAAUUAAAAUUAAAGAGAUUGUUAGUCACCUGAUAUCACACAACCAAGAAAUGGCAAAAAUCUGGCAUUUUAAAUUCCAGAGUUUGAAUUCCUAACUGCCUCAUUCAAAACCCAGUUCUGUUACAUGUCCUUUAUUUCGCUCACAGCCGUGGAAGAUAUGGGGUAUGCCCCUGUGUUCUUUCUCCAGUAACCUCUCCCCAGAACCUGGAGGUCCUUCUCUUCCCAUCGCUGCACUGUCACUAGAAGGUAAGCUGCGUUGUGUAAGAAACAGCACAGAAAGAUAUUUUUUAAGACAUAUAGCAUUUCUGCUUAGGUGAUAGGUGAUGGCCAUACUGUUACUUGUUGAUCACAAAAGGGCUUAAAACAGGGACAUUAAAUACCGGAGGAAAUAACGGAUCACAAAAGUUCACUAACUUGUCCAUCACACAACGAGGGUACUAGAAUUUGGAGCUAAUUAGUCACCCUGAUCUGGAUUUGAGACCCGUAGGAUUGAGAUUUGUAACUUAUAACGUUGACCGAUUCUUCACCCUCUUUCCAUUGUACUGAAGGGCUGGGCUAUUUGUUUGGUUCAGUAUGUUUUGGAUCUGCUACUGUGUUUUCAGUCAUGAGAACCUGUUCCAUGAGGCGAGGGUCCUGCCCAUUAACUUUUGAGCAGGACACAUGUCUAAUAUAACUGUGUUGGCCAUACAGGCAAUUUGGAUAACAUCUGUUCUGCCAGCACACUGACAAACUUCCAUGUUAGGGAGGUCACCAAGCAAACUGUUGCACAUUUGUCAAUAGAUGAUUCUUUGUGUGUGGUUCUCACUUACUCCUGCAGCUCACGACAAAGAAGGCAUCAUGUGUCUAUAGGACAGCCACCUCCUGGCAUUUGCACUAAAAUUCAGUUUCUUAUGACAGUGUUUUUGUUUUGUUGUCAGGAUUCCUCCCUCUACUUCCCAUAAGCAAACACUUCUCCUGUUCUAAGAGCUGGUGAUUCGGUAGUGAAUGAGACAGGCAAGGUCCCUGCUGUCAUGGUGUGUACAUCUAGUGCGGUUGGUAAGACAAUGAACAAAAUAACUUUCAAAGCAAACAAAAUAGUGGGGUGCUCUGGAGAGUACGUGGAGAUCUGUUGUAGAGGGUUGGUUGAGGAGGGUUUCUCUAAUUGUCAAUGCUCAGGUUGAAACUAGAAUGACCAGAUGGAGCCAGCCAGGAGAAGACCCGGCAGUGCAUUCCAGGGAAAGGGAAGUCCAAAAGCAAUGUCCUAAGAGGAGAAAAUCCUGGCAGGUUCCUGGAAAAGAAGGCAUGUGGGUCCAAUGUAUACGGUGGAGAGAGGUAGGAGAUGAACUCAGAGAGGUUGUCAGCACACAGACCAUAUUCAACAUUGGAGACCCUUAAAGGGUUUGGAUGUUGUCUUCAGUAUAGUCAUGGGCUGCAUAACAACGUUUCCAUCAAUGAUAGACUUCAUGUACAACACUUGUCCCAUAAGAUUAUAAUGGAGCUGAAAAAUUCUGGUUACCUAGUGAUGUCUUGAUGAUUCUGACCCUAGGCGAAUGUAUAUGUGUGUGUCUCAGUUUUUAACAAAAAUGUUUAAAAAGUAAAAAACAAAACUUUUUAAAAAUAGAAAAAAACUUAUAGGAUAAGGAUAUAAAGACAACAUUGUGUACAGCUGUACAAUCUGUUUUAAACUACGUGUAACAAGAGUCAAAAAGCUUAAAAAUAUUAAAAAGUUUAUAAAGUAAAAAAGUUGUAAGCUAAGGUUAAUUUAUUAUUGAAGAAGGAAAAUUUUUGUGUGAAUUAAGUGUAGCCUAAGUGUACAGUGUUCAUAAAAUCUAUAGUAGUGUAUAGCAAUGUCCUAGGCCUUCACAUUCACUCACCACUCCCUCACUGACUCACCCAGAGCAGCUUCUAGUCCUGCAAGCUCCAUUCAUGAUAUGUGCCCUAGACAGGUGGACGAUUUUUCAUGUUUAUACCAUAUUUUUAUUACAUCUUUUGUAUGUUUAGAUAUACAAUUACUUGCCAUUGUGUUACAGUUGCCUACAGUAUUUGGUAUAGUAACAUGCUGUACGGUUUGUAGCCGAGGAGCAAUAAGCUAUACCAGAUAGCCUAGGUAAGUAGUAGGCUCUACCGUCUAGGUUUGUGUAAAGUACUCUCUAUGAUGUUUGCACAACAACGAAAUCAUCCAAGGACAAUUUUUUCAGAGUGUACCUGUGUUAAGCAAUGCAUGAUUGUAUCUUAAAAAUACAUUGGAGACUUUUGAACUCAAGAAUGACAUGACAAUAAUAAUUUAAGAAGAACACUAAAGCUAUUCCUGUGUAUAGGGGAACAAGAAUGGCAAUGGGGAGACUAGAUGGAAAUCAUUCAGGUAGAUGGUGAUGGCUGGGAUCAAAGUGAUAGCUGUGGUGAGAUUUGAGAUUGAAGUUGCUGAGAUAAGAAGAGUUGGGGAAGAUCACUUUCAGGGAUGGGGUGAAGAUAAACGCCAUAGUUCUAUUAAGUUGAUAAACUUGAAAUGCCUAUUAGAUUUACAAGUAGAGAGUCUGGUUGGAAGUUGCAUAUACGUAUCUGGAGCUCAGGGCUGGAGAUAGAAGUUUGAAUUCCUUUGCUAAUUUGAGGCUACCUCAGUAACGGUGAAAAAAAAGUUUUCAAAUUGAGAUAAAUCCUAGCAAGUAAAAAUUGGGAAAGUGGCAUUUCUAGAAAAGGAGAAGGGUUACAUUAUUUACUUUGUGGUUUAUUGUAUGAGGAUACACUUAUGUAUAAGACAUUUAUACUCUAUAUUACAUACAUACAGAUUAUAAAACAUCAGACCUAAUUACUUGGGCUCUAGAAACUCACAUCUAGCAGACAACACACAUAUGAACAACAGAAACACACAUAUGUGACCUACUUCCUUGCCCUGUACUGAACAAAAGCCUUCCACCAGCUGAGCACAUCCUUUUCUUGGAUAUUGAAUGAAGAAGAAUUCCUGCGUUGAAUCCUUAAGGUUGCUAGAAUCAGCCCUGGAGGUCAGUGGGCUGACAUGCUGGAGGCAGACCACUCUCAAGCACUCACACCGUGUGCACUGAGCCAUGGGAAAGGUGUUUCUGUAGAAGAAGCUAAAAGAGCCUGCCAAAAGAUUACACACCUUUGCCUUGAAGUUCAGGAGAGGCUUCGCAGCAGAGGCGACAUUUCAGAUGCAUCUUGAACUAGGAGCAGGAGUUUGCUACGGGGCAUGCAUGGAGUGGGAAGGCUGUUUCUACCAAGGGAGUUUUCCAGAGCGAAGGGGUGUCCUGGAGAAAGUCAGCCAAAAAUGAUUCUUCAUCUUUGAACACAUUUCCCAGCUGGAUAUACAGAACCAGGUGAUCGUUGCUAGGUUAUUCAAAUUUUUAUUUAACUUUUGAAAUCUGCCAGUGCCAGACUUUCAAUGUUUCAUAGAUGCUUUAAAAAUCCUGGGUCAUUUUAUUUGCUCAACUUGUAACAUGAGGCACAUUUUCAUAUAGAGCUUUGACUGGAGAGUGUUCUUCCCUGUACCCUCCCAUCUUCUGUCAUAGGCAGAACUGACAAAAACUAUACAUAAGUAGAUGAUUACAGCAUAACUAUAACCGAUUUCCUUUUAUGUAAAAAACAUUCCAAAAUGAUAAUUACAGGUAAUUACUGUAGCAUAGAUCUCAGUCUGUUCACCUUCUAACCUGAAGUGAGUUCAACUGGAGGUCACAUAUUGCAGAUGGUGGCUAGUUUUUGAACACACUGGUGCUCUCUUUAUCAUUGCAUUUGUAAGAAAAUGCUUCUCAGCCACUUCUUGGCUUCAGUUUGAAGUUACUGUCUGUUCCCAUUACACCCUGUAAUGCCAAUUUCUUCCUCUGCAUUUUAAUGACUCAAUACAGAUGUUUAAUUGAAGAUUAGGAAAAAGAUUACCCAGAACAGGGUUUUCUGAUUGUUGAUAGUAAAAUAUUUGCAAACCACUGUCCUGUUUAUGUCACUUAGGCUCCAAAAUUCCUCGACAUCUCCUGGGAAUUGCGCAGAGUAACAAAGUCACGACCAACAGAUAGACAGACUAGUUUGUAGGAAAGCUCUGUUUAGCCCGGUUAGUUUCUAGAAGUUUGUCUGUGCAUGAUAGACUGAAUAGUAGUGGUUUCUUAGGAGCAGCAAGGAACUAAUAUCUCUUCAUCUUCCCAGGUAAACAGAAGAUAAAAGUUGCUUUUCUGCUGUCAACUUUAAGCUUGCCUCUUGCCAUGAUUGUGUAAAAACAUUUAGGAAAAAUACAAAUGACUUUCCUUGAGCAAGUUAUACCAACUGUCCGAUUUCUCAAGCUGAUAAAUGAGGAUGAUAUCUCCUUCACAGAGUGGAAAGAUUAAAUUAAAGCAUUCAUAUAAGUAAUCUAGCCUGGAGCCUGGCAAUUCUGAGUAUAUGACACAUGUUAAUUAUUUCCUUUUACCUGGAGCCUUAGUAGGGCUGCUAAUACCAAAAUUUGAUGUUCCUGAUUUCAAAAUUUUCCAAGUCAAAUAAUUAGUUUCAGCUACCCAUUAAUGCCUUACAAGAAAUCAAUAUCACCAAUGACCCACUUGACCAUUUAUUUUAGUUAUCAGAAUAAUAACAAACCCUGGUGCUGGUGUUUGGAGUUGACCUCAGGUGGUCUUGUUAUUUAAGUGCCCUGGCUGAACUUGAUAGAAAUAGGACUAGGACAUACAAUCUUCAGAUUUAUUAUCUGUGUGACAAUUUAGUAAAGUCUUUGGAGUCUCACAAUGGUUCUAGGGCAAGAUGUUGAUGAGUCUCCAAAAUGGAAAUGUUUAUAUAGCUCCCUGGCUUUCCCACCAUUAUCCAUUUUGUCUGUAAAGCUUCACACAAGUUAAUCGAACAAUUAAAAAUUUCUGUCUCAUUUUAUUGCUAUUUUAAAUAAAGAAAUUAUUUUUUAAAAAGUAAUCAGAGAAAUGGCUUACACUAAUAGAGGAUCCUGGAGUUGGACACUGGGUAGCGUGAUGGUUUGCAUGUUCCCCUGAAGUUCACGUUUUGGAAACUUAAUUCCCAGUGCAACAGCAUUUGACAGGUGGGACAUUUAAGAGAUGGGUAGAUAAUAAGGCUCUGCCCUCAUGAGUGGAUUAAUGCCACUAUCUUGGGAGUGGCAUCCUUAUAAAGGAUAGGUUCUGCCCCCUUCUCUCUCUUUCUUGCACACUCUCAUCCUGUGAUGCCUUCCACAUGUUAUGACACAGCAAGAAGGCUCUCACCGAUGUGGCUCCUCCAUCUUGGACUUCUCAGACUGCAGAACUGUAAGCUGAAUAGACUUCUAUUGUUUAUAAACUACCCAGUCUGUGGUAUUCUGUUACAGCAAAACAAAAUGGACUAAGACAGAUAGGCUUAUAGUAUGUUUCUGUUUGCCCAAAACAGACUCAGAUUAUGCUUGUUGUACUCUUGUAAUUAUUAAUAACCCCCCUUUUACUGUCAAAAGUUGUCCCAAUAUGUACAAUAAAUAAGUUGUCUCAAUUUUGACAAUAUGUUGAGCUGCCCUCGGAUAGUCCACUGUAUUCCAUCACUAGCUAUGUGGUCUCUCAUGAACUCCAGUCUUGCAGUAGAAUUGCACAUGAUUACAUAAGAUAGACUGUUGAAGUUUCUCUCCAAUGGUCUACUGUGAGUAGCUGAAUCUGCAAAUGUUGAGGCUCUACAGGAUUUAAACACCCACUGAGCCACAUCUGUCUUCUACUAAGUGGCUCCCCUCAGAUCGAAUCCUAUAGUUUUUCAGCAGGCAGACUCCCACUUCCCUCAGAAAACUUCACCAGGGUUUGAGGUUACUUCUUAUCACCAAGUUUUUUAAUGGCAUCAGAACCAGCCUGACUGUUCCUUUUUUCUGCCCACAAGCUGUAUUGUUACUCAAGUGUGCUUCUUAAAACAAUGAAUAUGUAACUCAUUAAGUGCCUGCAAGAAAAGGGAGAUGUUAAGGAUCUAAUUUUAUUAACUGACGUGGACUGCAGAGACAUACAGAGCCUUUUGUAAAGUUUGGAUCCAGGGACACUCCCCUACCCCUGCUCCUACUGUAGGAAGAGACGUCAUCACACCUGUUUAUUGCCUGGUAGAUGGCAAGGAUCUGUUGACCAUAUGCAUGCAAGUGAAACAACAUUGACCUUGACAAGAGAUGUUUCUUAUGAGUUGCAUUUAGGAAAAAUUUUUCUAUCUAAGACUGGUGUGGUCACAUUAUUAAUACCAAAUAAGCUGGCUGUGAACAACUCAGUGGGUCAUCUUGUAUCCACCUUACCUUCUAGGAAGAACUAUGUCCAUACCAGCCUAGCUUAAACAAGAAAAACAUAUAAAAAUAAGUCAAAACAAUCCUGAAGGUUAAAACUCCCAGCCUCCCUUAGUAACAAAUUUCAUUCUAUUCAACAUCUCACCUCAAUUUCAUGCACUUUAAUUCCCAAACUUCUUAUUCUUAAUGGAAAUACAGCAAAUGCUUAGAAUUAAUGUAAUCCUAACAAAACCACAACAGUAACAAACACAUAGCACUUACUAUGCACCAGGUACCGGUUCAGGCAUUUUAUAUACAGUAACAAAUUUAAUUUUCACAAAAAAACUUAUUAAGGUAGGCACUAUUACUGUUGUUAUUUUACAGGCAAGGAAACUGAGGCUUAGAGAGCUCAUAGUCAUGCAAUCAGGAGUGCUGCAAUGUAGCUCCAAAGUUCGUGUUACCUAAAUUGUUUUCUGUCCUGCCUCUCACCUACAGGGAAUUACAGCUCACAUUACACAUGUGUUAAGGUCGAUGUUGCUUCACUUGCAUGUAUAUGCCUACAUAUCCUUGUCCUCUGCCUGUCAAUAACCACCCCCAUCCCUUGGGAAUAUAGUCACAUGUCUGCCUUCAGCCUUCUUAAGACACAAUAUACCUAAAUUCCUUUACUUCUUUUGUUUUGAAAAUUAUUUCCCAAACAUUUAAUCAUUUUGGUUGUUCUCUCCAAGUGUCCCAGAACAUGCUUCAACUGGUACCUUCUGUCCUGUUCCGCUUCAGCAAACACAUAUGGCUACUUGAAGAAGAGGGGUUUUGUAUGGUUUAGGGGUAAACAGGGGAACAGAAACAGGACUGCUCAAAUUCCCAAAGCCAUAGGCCAUUUAACUAGGAGAGAAGACAACAAUUUCUUUAUUUCUUACUGUGACCCAUGGAAGAUGAGUCAUUUAGUUUUCCUUGAAGAGAGGUGUAUAUUAACACAAUUAGAAUUCUAGUUAAAACAUCUUCCUUAGUCACCCAGGAAACUAUGCUGGUGGGAGACAUGAAUGCAUGUACCUUGAGCAAAUAAACAGAUAAAGAGAAACCACACCAUGACUCCAACCAGCUGCCACACUAUUAUGAAACCUCUCCCGUCUUUAGUAAAUGUUGUAGGAUAAUUGAUGGUUGUAUCUUUUUUCUUGUUUCUUGUGGUAUUGUGGUCUUCCCCGUUAAAGGAUAGUCAUCCUUUUAAGUGGGAUCCAACAACCUUCCUCAAAGGUUGGGAGUCAAAACUGAGCCAAAUGACUUUGAAAUGAUAUUUAAUAUCAGGUUGUCAAGGUUUUAGAAUAUGAAGGUGUUUGCAUUAGGAGCUUACUUACUUGGUUACAUUAUUUGAUUUUGCAUAAACUCCAUCUCCAUUCAUAAGCUGUUUUAUGUAAGUAGUACAGAGGCUGCACAUAAUUGUUGUUCAAAAUAUGUAAGUUUCUCAUUCUACUGAGUAAGUUAAUUUAUGCCUCAGCACACUUCUACGAUGCCAUCGGGUAUCCCCAAUUUCACACUCCAUUUUUGGUCUAAGUUGUCGUAUGUGGCAUAAACAUGAACAAAUAUAGCUUUCAUGGUGCUCAGUUUGAAGUGACUAUCUCUAAGGAGCAACAUUCCUCACAAUGGGAUAUGGUGGUAUACCAUGAACUUUUAAAGCCAUCUUAUUGGCUAUAUAUUUAUAUAAUAUGUAUUAGAAGACUAUUUCUAGCAUACCAAACCUACUAAUUCAUGGAUAUUAUUUUCUAAAAUAGGGCUAAAGAAACAAGAAGUAGACUUAAAAAAAUUACAGUACAUAUGCCUAUAAGUCAAUAUGGCAAGACUUUUGAAGGAAAUUCAUGAAUGUGUAAAGUUUGAGACACCAUUAUAGGGCAUCUUGUGAUACAGAGACUGUUUUCCUUUGUCUGUUGAUGGCUAUGGAUCAGUGCCAAGAAUCUUAUGGCUCUUUUUCCAGUAUCUUCUAGAUUUGUCUUUAAGUCUUGAAUUUUCCUGCCCAUUUCUGACUCAGCCUUGGUCUUCCGUACCCUUGCAAUGCUCUUCUAAUCCUCUGCAGCUCUCCAAUUUCUUCCUGUCAUUCAGGGUCCGUUUCGUGUAGUAUUCUUCUGUGAAGCUGUUUCCGUCAUGCAUUCACACAGCCUUUGGUUUCCCUGUUACUUGGCCUUUCUCCUUCUCUCUCUCCUCCCAGGUCCCCAGCACAAUGCAGCACAUGGUUUACUAAUGUGGGUUGGAAUAUGCUGGGUAUUGAACAGCCUUGGUUUCUCUGGGUUGAUAAGUCUGGAGGAGGGCAAAGGCAAAAUCAAUUCAAGCAAGUCACAGAUCAAAUUGGGCCCAGAAUUUGUUAUUAGCUCUGUUCAUAAAUAUUCCGCUAAGUUGACCUGUAUCCAUUAGGACAGUCCAAGAAAACUCAGAUUCUCCCAUAUUACAAGUCACAUCAUCAGUCGCCUAGGGACAGUACUAUUCAUUUUUAGGUAGCUUGCUUGUUCACGAGUCAAAAUCCUGAUGUCAUUUAUUUUCUGAAUUCUGAUCAAAUUUCAAAGUCAAAGAAUAUAUGUAUUUUAAAUUGAUGUUUUGCCAAAUUUGUCCUCGAGAGAAGUUGUAUAAUUUAUCUCUCACCACACACUUGCUGACAUGCUUGCUAUAAUUUUGAAUGUGUAGGUUAAAAAGGGAUAAUUCAUGGUGGUGCUAAUUUGACUUUUUAAAAUUAUGAGGGAUGUUUUUAUUUUUAACUUUUGAAUACUGUAUAUAAAAUUAUGAGAUGCUUUUUGUGUUUGUUUGUUGCUUUUUUUGCCUUUCUUUCUUAAGGCUACCUUUUUUCUUCCUUCCCUCUCUUUCUGUUUCUCUCCCUCCACUGAUUUAUAAGAGAUCUUUUUGUGUGAAACAACAUGUAUUGCAAAAGUUGUAUUCAAGCUUGUUGUUUCUCCCUUGACUUUAUUUGUGGCAUAUUUUUCCUAUAGUAGUUUUAAAUUUUGGGACAAAUUCAGUAGAUUAAUCUUUUUUGUGGUUUCUGGUUUCCUUAAAAAUACUUUCUCUACAGAAUUUGUAAAAAUUAUCUCAUUGUAAAUUCAGAUUUCUAAUUUUUUUUUUUUUUUUUUUGAGACGGAGUUUUCGCUCUUGUUACCCAGGCUGGAGUGCAAUGGCACGAUCUCGGCUCACUGCAACCUCCGCCUCCUGGGUUCAGGCAAUUCUCCUGCCUCAGACUCCUGAGUAGCUGGGAUUACAGGCGCGCGCCACCAUGCCCAGCUAAUUUUUUGCAUUUUUAGUAGAGACGGGGUUUCACCAUGUUGACCAGGAUGGUCUCGAUUUCUGGACCUCAUAAUCCACCCACCUUGGCCUCCCAAAGUGCUGGGAUUACAGGCGUGAGCCACCACGCCCGGCCCCAGAUUUCUAAUUUUUAAAAAGGUGUUCUAUAUUUAUUCUAUCUAUGGAAUAAGUGGAACAAACACUCUGAGAGACUUCAAAGAGCAAAGAAAGAUCCUGUUUCUGGCAUUCCUGGCUAUUCUCAGGCCUCCCUCAUUCUUGUCAUUCUGUGCAACCUCUGGGCUUGGGUUUCAGCUGCUGACCCCUGAUUCAGCACUUACAUGUUUGAAUGACCUCUUGGGACCCAUUUAUUGGGCCUAUAGACCACAGUCUGGUGUAAUAUUGUUUAUUGAAUGAAUGCAUCAAAGGACUGAUGUUAAGUAAAACAGUGCCUGAGACAAAUAAGCUUGUGUAAGUGUUAACUGUCACUAUUUCCAAGUGUUGAAUUGAAAUUAUCUUUAUCACCAUUCAAAAAUAGUUAAAUAGUUGAGGCUGCUGAUGGUUAGGACAAAAACUAAUUUUCAAAAUUUAUACAGGAUAUUAUGAACAAACUAAGAAAUAUAUUUAGCUAUAUUCUAUUUUACAAUAUUUGUAGAAGGUUGAAUUAUAAGCAGUUCCUUUUAAAUAAGCCAUUGUCGCUCUGGGAUACAAGCUGCUUGAAGUUGGAUCUGAGGCAUUUGAGAGUGAAACGUAAGAAGAAGCUUGGCUAAAGAAACCUUUAAUGCAUUCUCACACUAUAAGGAAUGACUUUCCUGUUGAGUUUCUGUGUCACUUCCCCAUAUUUUCUGCCCUGGCUGAUUGCCUGCCAUGUGAUAUUGAUAAGUAGUUAUAUUUGUUUUUGUGAUUUUUUUGUAUUAAUUACAAAAUAAGUCAUUGAUAAGCUAUCAUAAACUUAAUAUGUUACAUUCCCAAUUAAGUUUGGUGUUUUUUGCCAAAAUUUAUACCAGUUUUUGCUAGGUGGAGAGGGGUCUUAUAUGAAGCUUUUCAAACAGGGCUGGGGGUGUCAUCAUUAGCUAUCAAUAAUUAACAGUGCUUCUGUUUCCUUUCAAGAUCAUUCCAAUCAAACUUUGAGAAUGAGAACUAUUUUAUGAUGACCUCACUAAGAAUUCCAUAUUGUGCUGAAAAAAAACCCGCUGAUGUAGUUAAUAGCAUCUGCUGUAGGGAAAUUGAUAC